UACGAGGGGGGCAAGCGUUGUUCGGAAUUAUUGGGCGUAAAGGGUGCGUAGGCGGUGCGGUAAGUCUGUUGUGAAAUCUCCGGGCUCAACUCGGAGUCUGCAUCAGAAACUGCCGUGCUGGAGUGUGGGAGAGGUGAGUGGAAUUCCCGGUGUAGCGGUGAAAUGCGUAGAGAUCGGGAGGAACACCAGAGGCGAAGGCGGCGACCUGGACAGGCACUGACACUCAACUACGAAAGCGUGGGGAGCAAACAGG
rnacentral:rRNA from 1 species